AGUGAACGCUGGCGGUAGGCCUAACACAUGCAAGUCGAACGGCAGCACAGUAAGAGCUUGCUCUUACGGGUGGCGAGUGGCGGACGGGUGAGGAAUACAUCGGAAUCUACUUUUUCGUGGGGGAUAACGUAGGGAAACUUACGCUAAUACCGCAUACGACCUACGGGUGACAGCAGGGGAUCUUCGGACCUUGCGCGAUUGAAUGAGCCGAUGUCGGAUUAGCUAGUUGGCGGGGUAAAGGCCCACCAAGGCGACGAUCCGUAGCUGGUCUGAGAGGAUGAUCAGCCACACUGGAACUGAGAAACGGUCCAGACUCCUACGGGGAGCAGCAGUGGGGAAUAUUGGACAAGGGGCGAAAGCCUGAUCCAGCCAUACCGCGUGGGUGAAGAAGGCCUUCGGGUUGGAAAGCCCUGUUGUUGGGAAAGAAAAGCAGCAGGUUAAUACCCCGCUGUUCUGACGGUACCCAAAGAAUAAGCACCGGCUAACUUCGUG
rnacentral:rRNA from 1 species